rnacentral:antisense_RNA from 1 species
CGUUGAAAAAGUACUGCAAUUGCUUCGAAUUUUGAUUUUCGCCUAAACAUUUAGUUAAGUAAAUUUCAUCACCUCCCCCCCCUGGCUGAAAACAGUAGGACCCAAAAAUAAAGCGUUUCUUCCAGUACUCUAUAUGGGUAAAUAUAUUAUUCUGGUCGCAUUCUACUAGAACUAUUUUCUUAUUUUCGGGUUCGGGAUCUUUGAUGUCGUGGACUACGCUUAGACAGGUAUUUGAAUAUAUAUGUCGAACGAUACUUCCUAAGGAUGAGUGUUAACAAUUGUGGGAAAAUACUAAUUCUAGAUAAACUUACUUUCAUUGUCAAUGUAGAAUAUUUGUGCAUUUUCAUUUGGUUUACAUUCUGAUAACUUUAACUCGAAAUUCUUUUCUCCACUUUUUUUCUCGUUCCCAAUUAAAGUGAAGCAUUUACCAUUACCACUAAAAACUAUUUGACUUCUUGGAUAUUCUAUUAGUCCAAAUUCGCUCAACUCAUUAUAAAAUUUUGAAGUAAAUAUUAACUUUUGGUCACAUUCAUACUCUUUAAUGAGUUCCUUACGUUUAUUUAUCAAUACCUCAAAUAAUCCUGAUGAUAGUUUCAUAUAGUUAGCCAGCUUCUCACUAUUAUUCAUAAUCAUCUGCUUGGUUGGCUCAUCUAUCCAAGAUUCCAAUAGAACUUGUCUUAUUUCUAACGAAGGUUGUGGAAUUUUUACCUUAGUUACACCAAAUGACAGUUCUGCUAUCUGAGCUACUCGCCCACCACAAUUCCAUGAUCUUAGAGAAAUAUCAAAGUUAAUACUCGUUUUGAAUAUCAGGUUAAUUGUUGGAUCUGAAAGUUUUGAUAUAUUUAACCACCAUGAUUUUGUUAUUGCAAAGAUUUUUGAAUAGAACAUUGGAACUUUAUUAUCUAAUGUAUGGAUAUUUGUUAAUUCAAAUUCUUUUGUGAACAUCAUUUUUGGUGAAUAUACAGGAUCAUUAUUCGAAAAUGUCCAUUUGUCUUUAUUCAAUUUUUUAAAUCUUGGAACUAUUAUUGAUUUAUAAUUAUCACUUAAACUCCUCAUUAUUGGUGAC